CCUACGGGCGGCAGCAGUGGGGAAUAUUGGACAAUGGGGGGAACCCUGAUCCAGCCAUGCCGCGUGUGUGAAGAAGGCCCUCGGGUUGUAAAGCACUUUCAGUGAGGAAGAACGCCUGGUGGUUAAUACCCAUCAGGAAAGACAUCACUCACAGAAGAAGCACCGGCUAACUCCGUGCCAGCAGCCGCGGUAAUACGGAGGGUGCGAGCGUUAAUCGGAAUUACUGGGCGUAAAGCGCGCGUAGGUGGCUUGAUAAGCCGGUUGUGAAAGCCCCGGGCUCAACCUGGGAACGGCAUCCGGAACUGUCAAGCUAGAGUGCAGGAGAGGAAGGUAGAAUUCCCGGUGUAGCGGUGAAAUGCGUAGAGAUCGGGAGGAAUACCAGUGGCGAAGGCGGCCUUCUGGACUGACACUGACAUUGAGGUGCGAAAGCGUGGGUAGCAAACAGGAUUAGAUACCCCUGUAGUC
rnacentral:rRNA from 1 species